rnacentral:misc_RNA from 1 species
GUAGGUGAACCUGCGGAAGGAUCAUUCAUAAUAAGUGUUUUAUGGCACUUUUUUAAAUCCAUAUCCACCUUGUGUGCAAUGUCAGGGUUGAUUUUUCUCUCGAGAGGAUCAGCCCCAAGCAUCAACUAUAUCUCAACUCUUUGUCUGAAAAAUAUUAUGAAUAAAACAAUUCAAAAUACAACUUUCAACAACGGAUCUCUUGGCUCUC